rnacentral:lncRNA from 1 species
AAAAUGCCAAGAUCAUUUAACUACAACAUUUCACAGAAAUAAUUGUGUCACAAUUUAUAUAGUGCACGCCCACACGCCCGUCACCUAGCAUGUGCGUCACCUCCCAACAUUUUACAGAAUACAUAUAUUCAGGGUUCAUACCCUCAACUCCAAGAUUAGAAGAGUUACUUACCUCGAACAAGCCAAAUUCAAUGUCGAGCAAGCUAAGCAAUGCUCCAGAAAUUCCAUUAUGCGCGUAUCAACUUCCAAACGGCUCGAAUCUAGUCACAAUUAAUUUGAUUCAGCUCAACUUCCAAAUGGCGCGUAUCAACUUUCCAUAAAUCUCAUUGAUACGUAUAAAUAAUACUCUUACACCCAAGAAUCAUACUCUUAAUCACCCAUCAUUACCGAAACUCGAAAUUGAAGAUUAGGGAUUAGAACCUUACCUCUUUGAUGAAGAACUUGAUGGAUUUCUUGUUGGAUUUCAAGGCUUGGACAAGAAUUUGAUGAACAAGAUAUUUCAUCUACUUCUUCUCUCUAGAACACUCUCACUUCUCUCUAAAAUCAUCAAAUAAUUGCCCCAAAAUAAGCCCCAAAGCCUAUUUAUCAAAAUGGGGUCGGGUUAUAAAAAUAAAAAAAUUAACCCUCUGAAAGCAGGUCUGCGGUCGCAUAAUGGACCGCAGAAUGGGUAUGCAUGCCGCAAAAAUGAUCACAAAAUCGGUGCCCAGAACUGGGCUCUUUUGGUCCAAUCUGCGACCAGUUUGCGGUCGCAGAAGCAGUUUUGCGAUCGCAUAACUAUUUUGCGAUCACAUAAUUGGUCGCAUAAUUGUAUUUUUCCAGCCUUUGGUAAUUUUGUCAUAACUUCUUGUAGAAAUGUCCAAAUGACGAACGGUUUGAAGAGUUAGAAACUAGACUCAAAGAUAUUUCAUUUGAUAGGUAAUACACCAUAUAAAACUUUGUGUCCUGAUAGUUAUUCUCAUUUGAAGUUAGGUCUUGUGCGAACUCAUUUGAAACUUUAGUCUUAUGAAAUUCCUAACUUCUAUAUUCGAUGCCGAAACUUAUCGAAUCAAGUCCGAUUGACCUUAAAUUUUGCACACAAGUCAUAAAUGACAUAAUGAAGCUAUUUAAAUUUCCAUAAUCGGAUUCUGACCUCGAUAUCAAAAAGUCAACCCCCGGUCAAACUUUCAAAAAAUUCAACUUUCGGCAUUUCAAGCCUAAUUCCACUACGGACCUCCAAAUAAUUUUCCGGACACGCUCCUAAGUCCAAAAUCACUAUACGGAGCUAUUGGAAUCAUCAAAACUCCAUUUCGAGGUAGUUUACACAUAAGUCGACAUCCGGUCACUAUUUUAAGUUAAGUUUUCAAUUAUUAGACUAAGUGUCUCAUUUCACUCCGAAAUCCUUCCAGACUCGAACCAAUUAACCUAAUAAGUCAUAAAUCAAUUAUAAGGCAUAAAUUGAGCAGUAAAUGAGGGAAUGAGGUUAUAAUACUCAAAACGACCGGAUGGGUCAUUACAUUCUCCUUCACUUAAACAUACGUUCGAUCUCGAACGUGCUAUGAGUUGUUUCCAAGCCACUGUCACACCUUCUUUUUUCCGGGGUAUAGGGGAGUUUUUCUAAUUUAAGUGACAUUAUUCGAAAUGGGAUUAUUUAUUUAAUCAGAAUCAUCAUUUGGAAUAAUUUAUGGUGUCCCAAGUCACCAGUUUAUUUUAAAAUCCCAAAUCAUGGAAAUUGACUCUGUUUAAAGUCCGCGAAAUCAGAAGAUCGGGUAAGAAAUUCUGUUAAUUCGGGAGAAGGUGUUAGGCAUUCCUGAGUUUUGUGCUUUUAACACAGUCACUUUUAAUCAUACCUGGCUUAUUUAAAUUGUUUUAAUUACUUAUUUUAGAACCUAUGUGCAUUUUACCUUUUACCGCUUUUAGAUUGCUUGAUUAUUCGUAAUUAUGGAAUUAUCUUGAAAUGAGUCACAUGUACGUGUACCCAUCUUGUUUGGUGUGUCAUGAAUCAUGUCACGCGUACGUGUACAUAAUUAAUAAUACUUUAUUAUUUUUAAGAUUUGUUUGCCCAAAGUUGCGCGAACGCAUACCUUAGUUUUAAUUUUGGGAAUCAUAAUUAUGUCACGCGAACGUAUACAUAAUCACGAUGAUUCAAUUAAUUAAGAGCGCACCUAAAAGCAUACUUGCGUAUUCAUUGUUUGUUUUUUUGCUACAUUUGAGAUUGUUGUGAGGCCAUGAUUUAUGGAUAUGGAAUUAGUUUGAUGAAUGAAGUACUUUUGAGGGUGUUAAGUGGACUAAUAGUAUAGAGCAGGUAUGCACAUUUAUUAUCUAUGAAAAAAAUAGGUUAGUAUUAUUUAUUCGUUAUUGGGCCACCAUAUGGAUACUAAAGGAAAUGGGCUUGGAAAAGUUCGUCUGCUCCCUAUUGCAGCAAAGUAACAUGAUAAGAAUCAAUCUAAUACCGAAAUGGUGGGCUCGUAUGAGGCCCAAAAAAUUAAAUCUAAACUCUCAAAAUUCCUCUUAGCUCUACAAAAACUAUCUAAAUUUGAAUUAUUUAAAAGUUUAUUAGAUGAUCUAACAAAAUAAAUCAUACUUUCCUUGAAGCAAAACGACAGACGUGGUAAUGAAACAAACAGUAGUUUGAUAUGAGCUCACUCAAAUAAUAUGCAUAUGACAGAAUACUUCAAAGGUCAAAUUCGUUCCAGAUCUUGCUAAAACCCCCAACAUCCCAUGUUGUUUGUUCACCAAUUUUUUAAAUUUUUAAACCGUAUGGUAAUCUAAAUACCAACAUGAGAGCAGAUAGAUCAAAUCACAGAUAUUUCUAUUGGUUUAAAAUAACUAAAAAAAUCAAACCCCAAAUAUAAUGGGUCAUGAAGUCGAUUCAAUAUUUUAUAAACCAAAAGAUGCCACCAUGCAAAUAGAUAAUCAUUAUUCCCCUUAAUAUUAUACAUUCUAAACCCAUUUAGUAAUUCAUCUCCAAAAACUAAUCCUUCAAUAUAAAUAAAUAAACUGAAUUAUAAAGCCAAAUUCAUUUCAUGCUUUAUCACAUAAUCCAAAUCGGACACAUCAAAAUGGGAUGGAAAUGAUUAAGAUAUGGAUCCAAUAUUCAAAAUAGUAUAAGAGACAAAAUUUAAAAGGCAAAGCAAGUAAUGAACCUUUAACGUAGAAUUCAAAAUAUCGCCAGUAUGAAACUUGAGCAGUGAUUGCAGAACCUAACCGCAACCGGAGACCUAUUUCCUUGACUAUUUUCGUUCUCUAUCCAAGGAAGAAAGUGAGUUCCUUCUUUGUGGUAUUUUGAUGGAUGAUUUUUUUUAUCCGAU